UAUUAAUUUAUGAAUUUGGUUCUGGUUCUUUAAGUUGUGUAGGUUGAGGCUUAUGCAUGCAAGCUUUAUAAGCAUCACGGUAAGGUACGCACCUUUUUACUAGCUUAAUAAAUUUAACCUAGUCAAAGAGAUUGUAAGGUUUAACUGUACUUUUUAAGGACAAUAUCCGUUAAAUAGCAUCACACCUGCAGCAAUGAGUCCUUAACACUAACUGGGAGGUUGAUUAGACCAAGUAUAUUAUAGAAGGGGCUAAGUCUCGUGCCAGCAGCCGCGGUUACACGAAUCCCUUCUCGCAACUAAUUAAGCGGUUUAAGAAGACACACUUUUUAUUAGAAUAGAAGGUAUUAUUAAGUGUGAAAACUUUAAUUUUAUGCGAUUAUUCUUUAUUGUUGUGGUACUUAUUGAUUUAAGGUGUAGACCCGGAUUAGAGACCCGGUUAUUCUUAAGUGUAAAUAUUUCGAGCCGGCGGAGUAUAAAGGUGUCUUUGAAAAGCAAAGAACUUGGCGGUUGUCUAUUUCUGAUUAGGGGAACCUGCUCGUAAAGGAUAGUCCACCAAAACCUUACCCUUUCUUGAAAAAUCAGCUACUAUAUCAUCGUCUCUAAGCACUUAGUCUAAGUUAAAGACAGCGUUUACCAGUUAAUUUUGGGUUAAGUCAGAUCAAGAUGGUGCUAAUGAAAUGGGGAGUAGUGGGUUACAUUAGCUCUCUGGCUUCGGAUUUUUCUUUGCAACAGUAAAAUGAAGUAGGACUUAAUAGUAAAGUUGAUGGAGAGAGACUACUUGAAAUUAGCACUAGACUUCGUACACAUCGCCCGUCGCCUGCGGGAUAAAACUUGGAGUAAGUCGUAACAUAGUAGGCGGACUGGAAGGUGUGGCCUGGAAAAUUA
rnacentral:rRNA from 1 species